rnacentral:lncRNA from 1 species
CCAUUGUAAGGCAAAACCCACCCCAUCCCCCUUAGUGUAGAUAAUAUUGUUUGAUAAAAAAAAAAUCAUUUGACAACUAAUUUAAUCACAUUAUUAUCCGCGUGCGAAAUACCUUUUUUAUAACCGGCAUUACAUGUCUCUUAAGAUGUUUUGAACAUGUUUUAAAAUAGAGAAAUUGAAUAACAUUAUUACUAGCCUAUUGUGAGGUACUAAUUUAAAAAAAAAACAACACAAAAAAACUAAUUAAAAUCACGACGACAUUUUUUGAAUUAAGGCGUGCUACGCGCAACUUACACAUUUUAAAUGUAUUUAUAUGUGUAAAUUGACAAAAGGAAAGUCAAAUAUUUGAAAUAAAUGAAUAAUCUUAUAUCAUGCUAGAAGAAACCCCUUAUAAACCAAUUAAAAUAGUUGAAUUUACAUAAUAAAAUUGGUCUCUAUAGAAUUUACAUUAAGAAUAGAGAAAAUGAUAUUUAAUAAACAAUUGAUUAAAUCACAUUAUUGCUAGCCCAUUGUGAGGCUAAGCCCACCCUCAUCCCCGUUAGUGUAGAUAAUAUCGUUUGUUAAAAAAGAAAAAAAUCAUUUGACAACUAAUUUAAUCACAUUAUUAUCCGCUUGCAAAAGACUUUUUUUAUAACCGACAUUACACACCUCUUAAGAUGUUUUGAACAUGUUUAAAAAUAGAGAAAAUAAUAUUUAAUAAACAACUGAUUGAAUCACAUUAUUGCUAGCCUAUUGUAAGGCUAAGCCCACCCCUCCCCCUUAGUGUAGAUAAUAUUGUUUGUUAAAAAAAAUCAUUUAACAACUAAUUUAACGUAAUUUAAUCACAGUAUUAACCACGUGCGAAAGACCUUUUUUUCUAACCGACAUUAUACGCCUCUUAAGAUGUUUUGAACAUGUAUAAAAAUAGAGAAAAUAAUAUUUAAUAAACAAUUGAUUGGAUCACAUUAUUGCUAACCCAUUGUAAGGCUAAGUCCACCCCCCCUUAGUGUAGAUAAUAUCAUUUAUUAAAAAAAAUAAUCAUUUGAAAACUAAUUUAAUCACAUUAUUAUUCGCGUGCAAAUGACCUCUUUUAUAAUCGGCAUUACACGCCUCUUAAGAUGUUUUGAAUGUGUUUAAAAAUAGAGAAAUUGAAUCACAUUAUUGCUAGCCUAUUGUGAGGUACUAAUAAAAAAAACUCACAAAAAAAUUAAAUAUUAAAAAAUACUAUUAAAAUGAUGAAAAUGCCCCUGCCUGAAGGAAAUAUUUGUGAAAACAAGUUCAUUUGAGCAACAUCUAUGCAUGCUAUUAACAAU